GAUGAACGCUGGCGGCGUGCCUAAUACAUGCAAGUCGAGCGAACAGACGAGGAGCUUGCUCCUCUGACGUGAGCGGCAGGCGGGUGAGUAACACGUGGAUAACCUACCUAUCAGACUGGGAUAACUUCGAGAAACCGGAGCUAAUACCGGAUAAGCUAUUGAACCGCAUGGUUCAAUAGAGAGAGACGGUGUUGCUGUCACUUAUCGAUGGAUACGAGCUGCAUUAGGUAGUUGGUAAGGUCACGGCUUACCAAGGCAACCAUGCGUAACCGAACUGACGGGGGGAUCGGCCACACUGGAACUGAGACACGGUCCAGACUACUACGGGAGGCAGCAGUAGGGAAUCGGCCGCAAUGGGCGGAAGCCUGACGGAGCAGCCGGGAGCGAGUGGUGAAGGCGUCCGGUGCGGGAUAAUCUGUUAUUAGGGAAGAACAAAUGUGGAAGGAACUGAGGCCUGCUUGACGGUACCUGGUCAGAAAGCCCCGGCUAACUACGUG
rnacentral:rRNA from 1 species